AUCGUCAAUUGCCACAUGACUAAAUCAUUGCGAGCAGGUUAUUCCCAAAACGUUGCACAGAAAAAUGGCAGAACAAGAACAGCAAGAAAAACAAGCAAAAAAACAGGAAAAUAAACAAGAAAGAAAGCAAGAAAAUAAACCAAAACCAAAACAAAAGCGCCGAGCAAUAGCCCAGCCUUCACUUGAGGUCAAGCUGCAGAUUGAGAAAAAGCUUUCCCAGCCAGGAUGGGAGGGACAGAAGCGCUACAUUACCUCGGCGGGAUCAGCCACGCUGACAAUCACCACUAACGCAAGGAUUCCCGAGAGUUUCGUCAAAAUCUGCCGACAUAAGGACGCCGUUGGGGUGCAGUCGACCCCAACGCGGGCUCACUCGAGCUUUUGUCGUUUUAAAAGACUCACCUAUAAGCCGCGUGUCCUCAAUCUGACCGAUGAACCCGAAGAUUGAGAGCUCCUGCUUGGUCUGGUUUCAAUAAAUGAUGGCGUCGUUGCGCUUACUUAUUUAAUCCU
ensembl:ncRNA lncRNA:CR43260 long non-coding RNA:CR43260